rnacentral:rRNA from 1 species
ACGAACGCUGGCGGCGUGCUUAACACAUGCAAGUCGAACGGAAAGGCCCUGCUUGCAGGGUACUCGAGUGGCGAACGGGUGAGUAACACGUGGGUGAUCUGCCCUGCACUUCGGGAUAAGCUUGGGAAACUGGGUCUAAUACCGGAUAGGAACCAUCUUUAGUGUGGUGGUUGGAAAGUUUUUUCGGUGUAGGAUGAGCUCGCGGCCUAUCAGCUUGUUGGUGGGGUAAUGGCCUACCAAGGCGGCGACGGGUAGCCGGCCUGAGAGGGUGUACGGCCACAUUGGGACUGAGAUACGGCCCAGACUCCCACGGGGGGCAGCAGGGGGGAAUAUUGCACAAUGGGCGCAAGCCUGAUGCAGCGACGCCGCGUGGGGGAUGAAGGCCUUCGGGUUGUAAACUCCUUUCGCUAGGGACGAAGCGUUGUUGUGACGGUACCUAGAUAAGAAGCACCGGCUAACUACGUG